AUGUCAGGAAUGUUUGUGUUCGGGUCUGAGUCAUGCUUUUAUGUGUCCAGCAGAGGCACCAGGGUGAUCGUCCUUGGGUUUUUGUAUGGGACUGAAUCAUGGUGUGCUAUUUUCGGCGGUGGCACCCAAGUGACCGUUCUUGGUCAACCCAAGUCUUCGCCCUCAGUCACUCUGUUCCCACCAUCCCCUGAGGAGCUCCAAACCAACAAAGCCACAGUAGCAUGUCUCAUGAGUGACUUCUACCCAGGAACAGCGACCGUGAAGUGGAAGGUAGAUGGCUCCCCUAUCACUCAGGGCAUGGAGACCACCAAGCCCUCCAAACAGAGCAACAACAAGUAUGUGGCCAGCAGCUACCUGACCUUGUCAGUCGACCAAUGGAGAUCUCACAGAACAUGCAGCUGCGAAGUCACGCAUGAAGGAAGCACCGUGGAGAAGACAGUGGUCCCUGCACAGUGUUCUUAG